UCUGCAUACAUCAUGUAUUUCCACACAUAAUAGACACCUGUUCCAAAACUGCUAGCUCUCACCUUCUUUGCUUUGUCACUUGUGAGAGAUGAACACAGCAGCUGAAAAUUAAUUGCUUCACUUGCCCUGCCACCGGAGAAGAGGGAAACCCCUCACCGAAUGCAUCCUUUAGGCCCUCUUGGAAUGUGUGCAGCUCUAACCAGCCUUCCUUGUACAAAGCAGAGACGUCAAGCUUUUACACACACACGCAUACACCGCAUGACCUGAGAGAUCUCGAAGUCAUCAGAGCCCUGAGAUAUGUGUACAGCUUUUUAAUACUUGAUCAGAUUUACUGUCUUUGUGAUCUGCCAUUGAGAAUUUUAAAUCAAUAUUUUAUUGAAUUCAUAGACUCUCAGUUUUUGGUCAUUGAAACUGUUUUGUUCCCCCCACCACCAUAACUUGCUUUCAGGCUACAUUGUUGUGAAAGCUUGGAAGUAGAGGGUUCUGCUGUAUCUGUUGUGGGCAGAGGAAAGUUAUUCUGCCCCUGUACUCCAUUCUGGUGAGGCCCUACCUGCAGUCUGCAUCCAGCUCUGGAGCCCCAAGCAUAAGAAGGACAUGGACUUGUUGAAGAAUCCUGAGGAGGGUCACAAAAAUGAUCAGAGGGCUGGAAUACCUCUCCUGUGAAGACAGACUGAGAGAGCUGGGGUUGUUCAGACUGCAGAAGAGAAGGUUUACAGUGCCUAAAAUGCCCUACAAGAGAGUUGGAGAGGGACUUUUUACAAGGGCAUUUAGUGAUAGCCAAAGAGUGAUGGCUUUAAUCUGAAUGAGGAUAGGCUUAGAUGAGCUGUAAGGCACAAAUUCUUUAUUGUGAGGGUGGUGAGGUAGUGGAACAGGUUGCCCAGUGAUGUUCUGGAUGCCUCAUCCCUGGAAGUGUUCAAGGCCAGAUUAAUGGGACUUUGAGCAACCUGGUCUAAGGGAAGAUAUCCCUACCCAUAUCAGGGGGCUUGGAACUAAAUGAUCUUUAAAGUCCCUUCCAAACCAAACCAUUCUAUGAGUCCAUGAAAGUCAAAGUAAACACAUCCAGCAAAACUGGAAAAAAAGGUAAGAAGGAAACUGAUUUGAUUUCCCUAGGUCAGACCAAGGAAGACCCAGGUGAAAGCUAUGAUUGAUGAUGCACCUCUCCUCAGCAAAGAUCAGCCCUCACAGGUUCUGUGAGGUUCUGUGAUUGCAUUUGUAGUUCUGCCCUGGCCCAAAUGCAAUCAUUGAACCUAACCGCCAGGCCCCAGGGGAGGCACUUCUCUACCUAAGGACACCUUCACAGAAUAUGUGUACUACUUCUCUUUCUCCUUUUGGACCUGCUUUUGGAGAGGGUUCGCCUCUCUGUGUGCUCUCCUGCAGUCUGGCCUUUGAAAUCAGGCUACAGCACAGCCAUUUUAGGGCUGCAGCUCGUGCUGCCUC
rnacentral:lncRNA from 1 species